GAUGUUGUAGCUCAGAGGCUAAGAUGUUGGCCUCCUUUUCUGAAGGUCCUGAGUUCAAAUCUCAGCACCAUUA